rnacentral:misc_RNA from 1 species
GAAAUGCGAUAAGUAGUGUGAAUUGCAGAAUUCAGUGAAUCAUCGAAUCUUUGAACGCACAUUGCGCCCUUUGGUAUUCCUUAGGGCAUGCCUGUUCGAGCGUCAUUUCAAAAUUCAAGCUCAGCUUGGUGAUGGGCGCCUGUCCCGCCUCCGUGCGUGGACUCGCCUCAAAAGCAGUUGGCAGCUCCCCACUCGGCUCUAAACGCAGCAGAUUUGCGUGGCGCGGCGAGAGGAGGGGCUUACCAGUAAGCAAAACCACCCCAGAUUGACCUCGGAUCAGGUAGGGAUACCCGCUGAACUUAAGCAU